GUCUAUACCCAUACCACCCUGAACAUACCUGAUCUCAUCUAGUCUCAGAAGCUAAGCAGGGCUUGGUUAGAACUCAAUGGAGGUGAUUCCUUAAAGGCUUGAUGUAUUACAUU
rnacentral:rRNA from 1 species